GGAAGGGUGCCAGAGUGGACGAUUGGAGCGGUCUUGAAAACCGUCGAGGGUUCACGCCCUCCGUGGGUUCGAAUCCCACCCCUUCCG
rnacentral:tRNA from 1 species